UACGUAGGGUGCGAGCGUUGUCCGGAAUUAUUGGGCGUAAAGAGCUUGUAGGCGGUCUGUCGCGUCUGCUGUGAAAAUCCGGGGCUCAACCCCGGACUUGCAGUGGGUACGGGCAGACUAGAGUGUGGUAGGGGAGACUGGAAUUCCUGGUGUAGCGGUGAAAUGCGCAGAUAUCAGGAGGAACACCCGGGGCGAAAGCGGCUCUCUGGGACGGUACUGACGCUGAGACGCGAAAGCGUGGGGAGCAAACAGG
rnacentral:rRNA from 1 species